CUGAGGGGGUAAAAAAGGGUCCUGGAAGGGGAAAUUCAGGGUCCUGAGGGGUAAUUGGGGUCCUGGAAGGGGAAAUGAGGCCCUGGGGGUGUAAAUGAGGUCCUGGAAGGGUAAAAGAGGCUCCUGAGGGAGUAACAGAGGCCCUGAGGGGGUAACUGGGGUCCUGGAAGGGUAAAUGAGGCCCUGGGGGAGUAAUUGGGGUCCUGGAAGGGCAAAUGAGGCCCUGAGGAGGUAACUGGGGUCCUGAGGGAUGAGUGGGGUCCUGGCAGGGUAAAUGAGACCCUGAGGGUGUCAUUGGGGUCCUGGAAGGGUAAAAAAGGCUCCUGAGGGGGUAACUGGGGUCCUGGAAGGGUAAAUUCAGGGUCCUGAGGCGUGAAUGGGGUCCUGGAAGGGUCAAAGAGGCCAUGAGGGGUAACUGAGGUCCUGGAAGGGUGAAAGAGGCUCCUGAGGGGGUAAAAGAGGCCCUGAGGGGAUAAAUGAAGGUCCUGAGGGGGUCAAAAGGGCCCUGAGGGGGUAAGUGGGGUCCUGGAAGGGCAAAUGAGGCCCUGAGGGAGUAACUGAGGUCCUGGAAGGGUCAGUGAGGGCCCUGAAGGGGUAAAUGAGGCCCUGGGGAAUAACUGGGGUCCUGGAAGGGUCAGUGAGGGCCCUGAGGGGGUAAAAAAGGCCCUGAGGGGAAAAUGAGGGCCCUGAGGGGGUAAGUGGGGUCCUGGAAGGGCAAAUGGGGCCCUGAGGGGGUAACUGGGGUCCUGGAAGGAUGAAAGAGACCCUGAGGGGGUAAAUGGGGUCCUGAGGAGUAAGUGGGGUCCUGGAAGGGCAAAUGAGGGCCUUGAGGGGGUAAAAAAGGUCCUGAGAGGGUAAAAAAAGGCCCUGAGGGGGUAAUUGGGGUCCUGGAAGGGCAAACGAGGCCCUGAGGGAGUAACUGAGGUUCUGGCUGGGUGAAAGAGGCCCUGAGG